rnacentral:lncRNA from 1 species
ACCAGCUGAAGAUUUAUUUCAGUGAAUCCCAGAACUGCUGAUGAGAUCAAAGACACUAAGCACUGUAGAGAGGCAUCAAACAAGAACAUUGGACAUCGGCUACUUUGUGUCCUUAUGGUUUUCAACAGACUCAACAAAAUCAUGCAGGGAGAAGUAGAAUUAGCCACAGAUCUAGCGCGCUUUUUGAAGAGG